rnacentral:rRNA from 1 species
GACGAACGCUGGCGGCGUGCCUAAUACAUGCAAGUCGAGCGCAGGAAACUGACGGAACUCUUCGGAGGGAAGGCAGUGGAAUGAGCGGCGGACGGGUGAGUAACACGUAAGGAACCUGCCUCAAGGAUUGGGAUAACUCCGAGAAAUCGGAGCUAAUACCGGAUAGUUCAACGGACCGCAUGGUCCGCUGAUGAAAGGCGCUCCGGCGUCACCUUGAGAUGGCCUUGCGGUGCAUUAGCUAGUUGGUGGGGUAACGGCCCACCAAGGCGACGAUGCAGAGCCGACCAGAGAGGGGGAUCGGCCACACUGGGACUGAGACACGGCCCAGACUCCGACGGGAGGCAGCAGUAGGGAAUCUUCCACAAUGGACGAAAGUCUGAUGGAGCAACGCCGCGUGAGUGAUGAAGGUUUUCGGAUCGUAAAACUCUGUUGUAAGGGAAGAACACGUACGAGAGGAAAUGCUCGUACCUUGACGGUACCUUACGAGAAAGCCACGGCUAACUACGUGCCAGCAGCCGCCGUAAGAC